GAUGAACGCUGGCGGCGUGCCUAAUACAUGCCAGUCGAGCGAACAGACGAGGAGCUUGCUCCUCUGACGUUAGCGGCGGACGGGUGAGUAACACGUGGAUAACCUACCUAUAAGACUGGGAUAACUUCGGGAAACCGGAGCUAAUACCGGAUAAUAUAUUGAACCGCAUGGUUCAAUAGUGAAAGACGGUUUUGCUGUCACUUAUAGAUGGAUCCGCGCUGCAUUAGCGAGUUGGUAAGGGAACGGCCUACCAAGGCAACGAUGCGUAGCCGAGCUGAGAGGGUGAUCGGCCACACUGGGACUGAGACCAGGUCCAGACUCCUACGGGAGGCAGGAGUAGGGAAUUUUCCGCAAUGGGCGAAAGCCUGACGGAGCCACGCCGCGUGAGUGAUGAAGGUCUUCGGAUCGUAAAACUCUUUUAUUAGGGAAGAAAAAGUGUGUAAGUAACUAUGCACGUCUUGACGGUACCUAAUCAGAAAGCCACGGCUAACUACGUG
rnacentral:rRNA from 1 species